rnacentral:rRNA from 1 species
AGGNUCAUUAAAUCAGUUANGGUUCCUUAGAUCGUACCCAAAAUUACUUGGAUAACUGUGGUAAUUCUAGAGCUAAUACAUGCAAACAGAGCUCCGACCGGAGACGGAAGGAGUGCUUUUAUUAGAUCAAAACCAAUCGGUAACGGGCUCGUCAUCGUCCAACUUGGUGACUCUGAAUAACUUUACGCUGAUCGCACGGUCCUAGCACCGGCGACGCAUCUUUCAAAUGUCUGCCUUAUCAACUGUCGAUGGUAGGUUCUGCGCCUACCAUGGUUGUAACGGGUAACGGGGAAUCAGGGUUCGAUUCCGGAGAGGGAGCCUGAGAAACGGCUACCACAUCCAAGGAAGGCAGCAGGCGCGCAAAUUACCCACUCCCGGCACGGGGAGGUAGUGACGAAAAAUAACGAUACGGGACUCAUCCGAGGCCCCGUAAUCGGAAUGAGUACACUCUAAACCCUUUAACGAGGAUCAAUUGGAGGGCAAGUCUGGUGCCAGCAGCCGCGGUA